rnacentral:lncRNA from 1 species
CCACAAUCCUGAUAUUGUUUCUUGCGACAUGGUAAACGACGUGAUAAAAAAAAAUUAAUUUGUAAUAGAUCGUGAUAAGUCCUAGGCUUAUGAUUUCCCGUUUCUAUCUAGGUUCAAAUACUAAUUUUAUUUUCUAUCAGUAAAGAACAAAGAUCCAAUGUUCUCCGCCAUGCACAUUAGAUGUCAUAUUUUAUCUAUCAAAGGGCGAGGAACAAGGGAAUAACUAAAAAAGCACUUUUUUGUUCUUUUUCUUU